UACGAAGGGGGGCGAGCGUUGCUCGGAAUACUGGGCGUAAAGCGUGCGCAGGCGGUUAUGUAAGACAGUUGUGAAAUCCCCGGGCUCAACCUGGGAACUGCAUCUGUGACUGCAUAGCUAGAGUACGGUAGAGGGGGAUGGAAUUCCGCGUGUAGCAGUGAAAUGCGUAGAUAUGCGGAGGAACACCGAUGGCGAAGGCAAUCCCCCUGGACCUGUACUGACGCUCAUGCACGAAAAGGCGUGGGGGAGCAAACAGG
rnacentral:rRNA from 1 species